rnacentral:rRNA from 1 species
CCUACGGGUGGCUGCAGUGGGGAAUAUUGGACAAUGGGGGCAACCCUGAUCCAGCCAUGCCGCGUGUGUGAAGAAGGCCCUCGGGUUGUAAAGCACUUUCAGUGAGGAAGAACGCCUGGUGGUUAAUACCCAUCAGGAAAGACAUCACUCACAGAAGAAGCACCGGCUAACUCCGUGCCAGCAGCCGCGGUAAUACGGAGGGUGCGAGCGUUAAUCGGAAUUACUGGGCGUAAAGCGCGCGUAGGUGGCUUGAUAAGCCGGUUGUGAAAGCCCCGGGCUCAACCUGGGAACGGCAUCCGGAACUGUCAAGCUAGAGUGCAGGAGAGGAAGGUAGAAAUCCCGGUGUAGCGGUGAAAUGCGUAGAGAUCGGGAGGAAUACCAGUGGCGAAGGCGGCCUUCUGGACUGACACUGACACUGAGGUGCGAAAGCGUGGGUAGCAAACAGGAUUAGAUACCCCUGUAGUC